UCCAGGAUCCAGCCGAACAGAGGAUGCGCGCGACGCGGGCGGUUUGCGUGGAUCCAGCCGAGCCGCCGAGGCGAGGCAGGCGAGCAAGCGAUUGGUCCGUGAGGGAAUCGAGCCGACGCGCACCAUGCGGGUGAUUCCGGGGCCGCUCGAUCUAGAACGCAGGAUGCGGGCGAUGAAAGUCGAUGCCUCAUCUGCUCGAGGAGUUCAUCGCCGUUUCUACACGCAAUUAGUGCAAUUGAAAAUCGGGGGAAAUAGUGGAGUUCAGUUACUGGUUAGCAUCUUGCAUACUACUCCCUCCGUUCGAAAUUACUUGUCUCGAAAAUGAAUGUAUCUAGAACUAAAAUACAUCUAGAUACAUCCAAUUCUACGACAAGUAAUUCCGAACGGAGAAAGUAUGUCCUAGCCCCUGCUCUUUGCCUUUUCUUCCUUCUGUAAAAGCUUCCCAUUUGCUACGGUUCUCCGUUGUGUUGCUGCCAUAAUCUCCCAUCCCCUCUGCUCGUCAGCCUCUCUCAUUCAUCUUACCAGCACUACCACUCUACAAGCACUACCGCUCUACAUCUUACUCGGAGCAAAAAGGUGCUUUGUUGGAGAUGAGAUUUGCGGUACUAAUAUCACUGCAAUCUCAAGUUUAGACAGACCAGGAGAGGAAAAGCAUCCAACGAUACUGGUCUACGUGGGGCAAAGCGAGGCGGGCAUGAGCAAGACUCGUCAAUGCAUCAAAGCUGUUGUUAGUUCUGUGGAUGGUGGUAACGUCCACCUCGCUCCCUAUGGGCAAAUUCCGUAGGUUUUCAACCUUUGCACCUGCGCCUCCUUUCUCCUCCUAAGGAAGUCACAUCGAUUGAUGGGUUGGUAGAGAACAACAACCAGAUAUGCUACUGCAAAAUAAUCAUGGAGUCAGUCCUCUGAAUGGCGUUGUGCUGCAAUUGAUGAAUUCCUGAUUUUAUUGCUGUAUUGUAAGAUGAUUUCCUGGUUUUAUUGCUAUGUUGUGAGAUGACUUCCUGAUUCUAUUGCUAUGUUGUGAUAUCCAUCUCCCGUAACAUGUGGUGAAGUCUUUGUCAAUAUGCUUCGGACAUAGUCUUCUUCAGUGAGAAGCCACCCCAUGCAUGCGGAUAUAAGCUUCAGAACAUAUAUUAGAUGAGAGUACUCUUUAGUCCGGUAGUUAGCAAAACCAUAGCUUCUUCCUUGCUUAUAAAUUUCUUGGUAUGUCUUACAUUCAAGGCUCAAGCUACCCAUCAGUUCUAUGUUGCUGCACCAAUGUACUGUU